GAUGAACGCUGGCGGCGUGCCUAACACAUGCAAGUCGAACGGAGUCCAGCCUUUAAGACCUUCGGGUCAAAGAGGGGAAGACUGAGUGGCGGACGGGUGAGUAACACGUGGGCAACCUGGCUCAUAGAGGGGGAUAACAGAGAGAAAUUUCUGCUAAUACCGCAUAAGCACACACUGCCGCAUGGCAGAGGGUGGAAAGAGAAUCGCUAUGAGAUGGACCCGCGUCUGAUUAGCCAGUUGGCAGGGUAAGAGCCUACCAAAGCGACGAUCAGUAGCCGAGCUGAGAGGAGGACCAGCCACAUUGGGAAUGAGACACGGCCCCAACUCCUACGGGAGGCAGCAGUGGGGGAUAUUGCACAAUGGGGGGAACCCUGAUGCAGCGACGCCGCGUGAGUGAAGAAGUAUUUCGGUAUGUAAAGCUCUAUCAGCAGGGAAGAUAAUGACAGUACCUGAAUAAGAAGCCCCGGCUAACUACGUG
rnacentral:rRNA from 1 species